GGGACACACUUGGUACGAGCUGUUCACCGUCGUCAAUCGCCACUCAUCACCAUUAGCCAGCAGCUUGGCGUACUCCUGUUCCGGUCGGAUGAUCGUACCGCCCUCAAGGAUAUUGUUCACGAUGUGUGGCUUUCGUUCAACCAAGUCAAUAUUCUGGUGCAGCAGCUGCAAGAGAAUCAAAGAACACGCGGGUCAUUUGAGUUGCGUACAGAAAAACUCCAUUUUGCUCAGUUUGGGUAGGAGAACACAAAAGCAGCCCCUGGUACCAGCGAAGCAGAAAGGUCAUUGAUUCUGAAUCCUUUACCACGACACGAGAUCAGAGAAAAUCACAGUUGGCUACGUGUACCACUCCUAAUGCGAUUAGUUGAGGAAUGGUUUUUUCCGUUUUCUCGAAAUCAUUACGCGGCGACAGCAGAGCGGAGUGCCAAAUACCGAACCAUAUGGUUCCGGAUGUGGCGGGUGAUGACCGGUGAUGCAGAGCGUUACGUCGACGGGCCUUUCGCCUUGCUGGUCGUACAUCAGAACGCCCUCCAGCUUUGGCGUCAGG